GCAGCUUAGCCAUAUGGAGAGCUCAAAUACUACUUGCAAUUUCACACCCAUUGAUGCCUGCUUAUGGGAGGCGGCAGCAAAAGGCAACCUUGAUCCCUUCAAGGAGUCUGAUGUCCCUCUUGAUUGCUUACUGACCCCAAAUAAAAACACAAUAUUACAUAUCCACCUUACCUCCCGAAGUGAAAGAAAAAUUGAGUUUAUAAAAGGGGUACUCGGCAUUUGUUUGUCAAUAUUGUGGAAGGUCAAUGACCAUGGUGACACUCCGUUGCACAUUGCAGCAAGAUACGGGCAUGUUGAUGCAGCAAAAGAGUUAAUUGCAAAGGCUUCAGCAGAUGGUGACAGAGAUAUAGAGAGCGGAAAACGGCCAAGAGUUAAGGUAUUGGAGAUGUUAAGGAUGAAAAAUAAAAAUAAUGAUACGGCCUUGCAUGAGGCAACACGAAAUAGAAGUCUGCAUGAGGCGAGACAAAAAAGACGUCUGGAUGUUGUGAAAGAAAUAU
rnacentral:misc_RNA from 1 species